UUCACAUCAGAUGUGCACAAAAAACUCUUUUCAGAGUCUGCUAGAGCUGACCUCACCAAGCACAUUGAUCAACUCAAGUUCAGUGUAGGCAUUAUUCCAGAAUCACUACUGGAAAUAGUACUGCCAGAGCACAUCACAAAAGAAAGUCUACUUAAGCUGCAGUACUGUCACGAAAUUGAGAAUUUGUACGUGGAAGAGGACCACACUCUUUCUCAACUCACUUCUAGGCCAGUCACAACAAACACUGCCAAUACAGAGAAAUUUCAUUAAUUUUUUCCUGCUUUAUGUGAUCUUAAGCUCGGCGAAAUUCAAUGGCCAAAAUCCGAAGGUGAUAUGAUUACUUUAGGAUGGUAUGCUAAAUGUGAUGGUGACAGAUUCAACUAUUUCCCAACACGAUUUCUACAUGUGCUUAUUGUUCACCUUUCUCACAACUUUGCAUUAAAACAAAACUUGCGAACAAGUCACAGACCCUCUUUAGUAAGUGAGUCUUCUAGUGAUAAUAGUUUUUGAUUGCGGAGGUAUGUGCUGCCAAUCCUCGCUGUCGUGUCUGGUCGACUGGUCUGCAUUGGCUUAUGAGAAUGGAGUGGAGGUAUUUGUCGAUAUGCCUAAAGACGCUGAUAGUAAAGAUCUGAUUGUACUAGUGACAUUGAAGAUAAAGUUGAAUGUUUCAACUCUCUGCAACUAGUUAUUCAGAAGGUAGUCGAAACAAAAGUUGAAUUCUGUGCUAGUAUAGUGCCAACUGUUUACCUUCUUAAUUGAUCCGAGCAACCUUAAGCAUGAAUCUUUUACGAAUGCUAGCAAUGCACCUAAAUAUUCUCUAAUCGAUAUCGAAGAGGCACUAGCAGAAGGCACUAAGCGAGUCAUGGACAAUGAAGGACGAUGCUUCUCCUCUCCGAUCAAAGAUUGGAUCAGCCCAAUAUCUUACUGGAAAUUGUUGUUUCCGAUGGAUACCUUCUUGGUUCGUUCUGCUUUGAAAAAAGUAUUAGGUACUCAAUGGAAACUGCUAGGACUAAAUUUUUUAAUUUCCUGGAUUAAACUAGAUAACAUUGACAAUGAAGCAUCCUUUCCUGAUGGCAUUGCUAAGAAAAAAGAAGUAAUUCAACUGUGCAUGGAUGUCACAAGAACCCACCUGGAUAGUGUUGGUAGACGCUCUCAGUCAACCUUCAAUUGGAUUGUCCCAGAAAGCAAGUCAAAUCUCAAGAGAACACAAUGUGCCUCUACAAGAGAAAAUCCUCUGCGAAAACAAUUCAUCCCUCCGUCCUGACGAGGACUUUCUCCAAUCAUUUGCUGCUAUUAUUGGCUCUCGAUGGCAGUGUCUUGCUUCUCCCCUCUCCCUCACUUCUAAAGUCAUUGAGAGCAUCAAGAGAGAGACAACCAGACAAGCACUUGUGAUGCUACAGAAGUGGGCAGCCAGGGAGACGGCAAAUUAUGGUCAGUUGAGAGAGAAACUCUGUACACUCCGUACACUCUCAGUGUUUCAUAUCUGAGAAAAGUUAGUUCAUUUAUCACAGCAGAAAUUUUAGCUAUAUACAUUCCAUAUUCAUGCAAUUGCGGCCUUUUAAAGCUAAUGGACGUAGCUAUACGUUAUCAAUGCACCUAUAUAGCUUUUUACCAAAAUAUAUCACCAUUAAUUAUUGUUUUGUGUCACUUAACUUUCAGGAUUAUGCUUUGCCAUUCAUGUUAUUACAUUUAAGCAACAAUAAUGCUACACUGCACUUUUAAUUUGCAUACUGCCCUGCAAAUGCAAUGCACCAUGCCAACUUCAUCAAAUCGCACUUUCGCACCAUACAAAUCGCAUAAUUUUGUUAGCCUACUAGUUUCUUUUAUUGUCAAUUCUUACUGUCAAUGCUUCCCCCAAGUAACUUUGGUACAGUAACUGCACAGCUAUAUAGGUAUAGCGAUGUACAAACGUUCUGUACAGCUCCAACAUUGAUGAUUUGCAAAGUGUUGCUCUUGCUCUGUCGUAAACAAGGAACCUCUAAUCAGAGUUUGAUUCGUUAGCAGUAGUUGAAGAGGUUUGAUGAGGGCGAUCCUCUCCAACUCAAUACAGUUGCCACUAUUUUCAGUUAUUGAGUUGUUGAAUAAGAUUUGUAAGUGCGAACUAAGUACCUCUAAUCAGACAUAAGGAACUUACUUAGAAUUAUCAUCCCCUAUCGAACUUUCCACGGAGACAAGCUCUCUUUCAUGGGAUUGUUGAAAUACGUUCCAGCUUGCAAAGUAAGCGCUUCCUUAUCUCUCACAUAGAAAUUACACUGCUGUCCGAAAAGAGUUACAUCAACAUUUAUUAAUGCUAAAGCAGACCUCAACAAACUCAUCGAUCAACUUAAGCUCAGUGUAGGCAUUAUUCCAGAAUCACUAUACUGGAAAGAGUGCUACCAGAGUACAUCACAAAGGAAAGUCUACUUAAGCUGCAUUACUGUCAAGAAAUUGAGAAUGUGUACGUGUAUGCAAGAGGACUAUUUUCUUUCUCAACUCACUUUGGGGCCAGUACGAACAGAAAGUGCCACUAACGAAAAUAUUUUCCCUGUUCUAUAACUAUGAUCUCAAGCUCGAGGAAAUUCAAUGACCUAAAUCCGUAAAUUACUUUGGGAUGGUAUGCUAAAUGUGAUGGUGACAGAUUAGACUUCUUCCCAACACUAUUUAUUUAUGUGCUUAUCGUUCAUCUCUCUCACAACUUUGCUGCAUUAAAACGAAGCAUGCCAACAAGUCCGCUACAACUUCCGAUUUUUUGUUUGUGGAUGUAUACAGUAACACUGCCAAUCCUCGCUGUUAUGUCUGGUCACCUGGUCGAUCUUGCAUUGGCUUAUGAAAAACGGAGUCAAGGUAUUAUUUUGUCGAUAUAUGCUCAAAGAUGCUAAUAGUAAAGAACUGAUUGUAUUAAAGGAUCGAGUGAUAUCCGAAAUGAAGUAGAGUGUUCCAAAACUCUGUAACUAUUUAUUCAAAGGUAUAAUUGAAGCAAAAAUGGAGUUCUAUGCUGGCUGUACCUUCUUGAUCUGAGCAAAAUCUUCUGCAAUAUCUUAAAAAAAAUGCAGAUGCAUCAUAUAGAUCUCAUUGAUAAAACAUUAGCAGAAGGCACUGAGCGAGUCAUGGAUAAAGAAGGACGAUGCUUCUCUUCUCUGAUAAAAGAUUGGACCAGCCCAACAAGACGGACCAUAUCUUACUGGAAUUUGUUAAUCUUCCUUGGUGAAAUUGCUAAGAAAAGAGUAUUUUGACCGUGGUUCUCAGAAACUCUCCUGGAAAAUGUUGGUUGCUGCUCUCAGUCAACCUUCAAUUGGAUUGUCCCAGAAAGAAAAGCAAGUCUCACAAGAACACAACGUAACUCUACAAGAGAAAUCCUCGAAGGCAAUUCAUUUGUCCGUCCUGGCAAGGACUUUCUCCAAUCGUUUGCUGCCAUCAUUGGCUCUCGAUGGCAGUGUCUUGCUUCUCCCCUCUCCCUCACUUCUGAAGACAUUGUGAGCAUCAAGAGAGAGACAAGAGGAGCAGAGUCGACCAAACAAGCACUCGUCAUACUGCAGAAGUGCAUGGGAAACCAGACAGACGGCAACUUAUGAUCAGUUCAUAUAUCUGAGAACUUUAGUAUCAGGACAAGUAAAUGUACCUGUAGCUACGUUCAAUUGCACCUGUAUAACUAUUGUUAUACGUCACCAUGUUUGUGUCUUAGAACUUCAAAAUUUAUAUGGUAUUACCUUGUCAAUUAAAUUAUAAUUAUUUUCAAUACACCAUGCAUGCAUGCAUAGCUAUUUAUAUACCGCAAUUAUUUAUAGUAUCAUUUGGUUACCUCAAUUCUUAUCAGUCAUUGUUUCCCCAACCAAUUUUUGU